GUCUCUUUGUAUUGAUUAAAUAAAGAGUUGGGCCUGCUCGGUGAAGAAAAUUUUUAACAGCUGCGGUAUUUUAACUGUACUAAGGUAGCAUAAUAAUUUGCCUUAUAAAUUGAGGCUAGUAUGAAAGGUUUGACGAAGGUUUAUCUGUCUCUUUUUUAUUUAAUAGAAAUUAAUUUUUAUAGUGAAAAAGCUUAAAUGUUUUAAAGGGACGAGAAGACCCUAAUGAGCUAAAUUUUAUAUUAUUGGUAUAUAUGUUUAUAAUUAAUUGGAAAUUUUAAUUGGGGUGAUUAAGGAAUAAUAUUAAGAUAAAUAACUUCCUUAUAUAAUAAUAAAUUGUUGAAUUAAGUAACCAAUAUUAUUGCUUUUAAUAAAGUUACCAUAGGGAUAACAGCGUAAUUUAUUUAGAGAGCUCAUAUCAAAAAAUAAGAAUGGCGGCCUUCGAAUGUUGAAUUAAAGUACCCUUAAGGUGCCAGUAGCUUUAAUGGUAAAUAAGUUCGAUUUUUAAAACUUU
rnacentral:rRNA from 1 species